AAGUCGUAACAAGGUUUCUGUAGGUGAACCUGCAGAAGGAUCAUUAGUGAAGAUUCAAGGGCCAGCCAUACAGACGUACAAUAAGUGUGUCUCUGGCGGCCUCCGCAUCCACUAUACAUACCCAUAACCGUGUGCACUGUUCUAAGGAGUAAGAAAGAAAGAAAGGGGGGAGGGGGAGAGAGAGUGCAUUGUGCUUUUGCAUAUAACUCUCUCUCACUCUCCACUCUCUUUUCUCUCUCCGGGUUAAUUUACAAACUCGUAUGGAUUUGUAUGAACGUGAGAUAUAUCGUUGGACCGUCACUGGCCCAACAAAUUAUAACACAA
rnacentral:misc_RNA from 1 species